rnacentral:rRNA from 1 species
CAGUCGCCACGGUAAUACGGAGGGUGCAAGCGUUACUCGGAAUCACUGGGCGUAAAGGACGCGUAGGCGGAUUAUCAAGUCUCUUGUGAAAUCUAACGGCUUAACCGUUAAACUGCUUGGGAAACUGAUAAUCUAGAGUAAGGGAGAGGCAGAUGGAAUUCUUGGUGUAGGGGUAAAAUCCGUAGAGAUCAAGAAGAAUACCCAUGGCGAAAGCACUCUGCUGGGCCGACACUGACACUGAGAGACGAAAGCUAGGGGAGCAAAUGGGAUUAGAUACCCCCGUAGUCCCUGUCUCUUAUAC